UACGGGGGGGGCAAGCGUUGUUCGGAAUUACUGGGCGUAAAGGGCUCGUAGGCGGCCAACUAAGUCGGACGUGAAAUCCCUCGGCUUAACCGGGGAACUGCGUCUGAUACUGGAUGGCUAGAGGUUGGGAGAGGGAUGCGGAAUUCCAGGUGUAGCGGUGAAAUGCGUAGAUAUCUGGAGGAACACCGGUGGCGAAGGCGGCAUCCUGGACCAAUUCUGACGCUGAGGAGCGAAAGCCAGGGGAGCAAACGGG
rnacentral:rRNA from 1 species